rnacentral:rRNA from 1 species
GAUGAACGCUGACAGAAUGCUUAACACAUGCAAGUCAACUUGAACUUCGGUUUGGGUGGCGGACGGGUGAAUAACGCGUAAAGAACUUGCCUCACAGUUAGGGACAACAUUUGGAAACGAAUGCUAAUACCUAAUAUUAUGAUUUUAGGGCAUCCUAGAAUUAUGAAAGCUAUAUGCGCUGUGAGAGAGCUUUGCGUCCCAUUAGCUAGUUGGAGAGGUAACGGCUCACCAAGGCGAUGAUGGGUAGCCGGCCUGAGAGGGUGAUCGGCCACAAGGGGACUGAGACACGGCCCUUACUCCUACGGGAGGCAGCAGUGGGGAAUAUUGGACAAUGGACCAAGAGUCUGAUCCAGCAAUUCUGUGUGCACGAUGAAGUUUUUCGGAAUGUAAAGUGCUUUCAGUUGGGAAGAAAAAAAUGACGGUACCAACAGAAGAAGUGACGGCUAAAUACGUGCCAGCAGCCGCGGUAAUACGUAUGUCACAAGCGUUAUCCGGAUUUAUUGGGCGUAAAGCGCGUCUAGGUGGUUAUGUAAGUCUGAUGUGAAAAUGCAGGGCUCAACUCUGUAUUGCGUUGGAAACUGUGUAACUAGAGUACUGGAGAGGUAAGCGGAACUACAAGUGUAGAGGUGAAAUUCGUAGAUAUUUGUAGGAAUGCCGAUGGGGAAGCCAGCUUACUGGACAGAUACUGACGCUGAAGCGCGAAAGCGUGGGUAGCAAACAGG